GACGAACGCUGGCGGCAUGCCUAACACAUGCAAGUCGAACGGAGUCUUUCCGGAAGUUUACUUUUGGGAAGACUUAGUGGCGGACGGGUGAGUAACACGUGGGUAAUCUGCCUGAGAGACUGGGACAACAGGGGGAAACCGCUGCUAAUACCAGAUAAGCUCACGGGGACGGGAGUUCCUGGGAGAAAAGGAGAAGUCCGCUUUCAGAUGAGCCCGCGGCUGAUUAGCCAGUUGGUGGGGUAACGGCCUACCAAAGCGGCGAUCAGUAGCCGGCCUGAGAGGGUGUACGGCCACACUGGAACUGAGACACGGUCCAGACUCCUACGGGAGGCAGCAGUGGGGAAUUUUCCGCAAUGGGCGAAAGCCUGACGGAGCAAUGCCGCGUGAGUGA
rnacentral:rRNA from 1 species